GUGAGAAGAGAGCAGCUGAUAAGAUUCUAAAAUUUAAAUGAGGUCAUCCUGCUUUUGCAAUUUAUGACAGAAAAUUGCCACAGGGUAUUUGGAGAAGAAAUCACUUCCCUUUAUGGAGAGGUUUCAGGGACAUGUGGCACUAGAGGAAAUGCCUCAGAUAUUUCUCACUUCCAACUGAGCCACUCCUCCUCAUAUGACAGCUUGGAUAAUGAACUGAAUGAGGACAUUUAUGCCCCCAUGCAGUGAUGUGGCAAAGAAACUUGGCCAAUGGAGAAGAAGUACAGACUGUUUUAAUGUUCAGUGGUGACCUUGACCAACCUGAGGUGGAAGGUGGAAUACCCGUUAUCCCUCAAUGACUUCCUCGUGGACCAUCCUGAAUAAGAAGAUGCACAAAUGGUCCGGCCUUGUGAAGCCAAGGCAAUGAAUGUUGCAAUGUGCCCAAGUGUCCUGCUGCGGGAUCCCGCUGAGGCCCUGUCUGGCACACACCGCCACCUGUCCAUAGCUGCAGCAGAGGCAGAAAAAAUGUGAGGCAAAACUGGUGCUGCUGAAAGCCCAGCAUCUACUGUCUGGAUUCAUAGCUUCCCUAUCUCGGGGAGUUUGAUCAGAAAAAGCUGUGUAGUCCGGCUGUGAUGCUCUUCUGUGUCAAAAAGAUGAGGACUAUCUGAAGCACAAUUAACCCCUCCAUGCAGGGGGAAUAAGACAGAGUUUUAAAACAGAGUUUAUUCACAAGCACUGAUGCCAGCAAGAAAAAUUCCACUAAUCAAAACAUUAAGAAGACAAGCUUGUCUGGUAAGGAAGGAAAUUGUAUGAAAAUUUUCCAUAAGUCCAAGCCAUUGGCCAUUUCUGUGUCCUCACAGAAUCAUUGCAAGAACAGCUGCUUGAUUUGGAUACAACUAGAAACUCCCCACACGGGCAACACAUGCCUUCAAGAGUUCAAGGAAACAGCAGCACAGCUCACAGCGCGACAUAAAUGACUGCAGAGGCAAAAUGUCCUUUCUCUGGGGUAUUUGUUUAAAGAAGCAGCAUAAAAGUCUCCGGGAAUCUGCUCUCUUUCAUGAAGAGGAGGAUUAUCUAAAACUACAUAAGUCUUUGCAAAUAGAUGGACAAAAGCUUCUUAAUCAGACUUUGGUCAUGGGGAUUGAGGUGGGCAAGAGUAGUGCCACAAACCAAAAUUCUGAGGAGAUUUUACGCCCAAGAUUAAUCCUUUGCCCACGGAGUAGCCAUCCCAGCUUAUCCUCUCCAGGUACUUCCCCAUCGGGCACACCAGUGAGAUCCAGGACAGUGCUUUCUCUCAGAUUUCUGAACACUCUGUGUUUACACCCAGUGAAACUCCUCUCCAAUAGCUCACACUUUUCAGUUCAAAAAAGACAGAACAGGCUCUCUUCUUACUGCAGCAGUUCUGGCCUUGUUUCUGGAAUGUCUGGUCCCUCAUCAGGGCAGGCCAGCAGCUGCCUGGCUUAUACCAAAAGGACACCAAAGAGUGGCAUUCACGAACACGUUCUGUAACUUUUCAUCCCACCACAUGGUUGAGAAAUGGUGGGGCCAGCAUGAAAAACUGAUCCCUCAAAAAGAAAGCAAAGGCAUCCAGACCAGAGGAAAAGAAGACAGGUCCUGUAGAAGGACACUCAGAGCCCCCUCCAAAUGUUUCUGGUGUUCUAGAAGAAAACUCACUGCAAGAGGAACAGAAUGACGUUCCCUUAAGGGCAGCGGAGGGACUGGGAGCUGUGCAGUCAGCCCAGUGCUGUAGUUCUCCCUGCCAGGACUCAGACAGACUCUGUAGCUCAAAAUUCAGCCCGGUGGAAAGCAAACUCCAGCUGUGUGUGAAGCCACAGGAGGCCACAGAGCACGGUGGCCAGGGCUCCUCUGAUUCUCUGCCUUGGGGAGGAGCCUCAGCCAGCUCUUCCACUGUGGAUUCUCCGGCCAGCCCAGACUCCGGGACUAUAGUCGUCUGUGAUGUUGGGGACAAACAAUGAACCACAGACAUCUAACCAUGAUAAGAAACUGACAUCCACAAGAACAGGAAAUGGGACAAUAAUAACAUAAAGAUAAUAAUUAUUAUGACCCCUUUGUAUAAGAUACCUGGGAGAGGUAGCAUGAGGAUAAUCAUUGUUAAUACUUAUGGCAAGAAGAAAUAAUAAUUCUCUUUACUGAAAUGAUUUUAUAAAAACUUUAUGACAAAAAAUAUUUGUUACUUAAGUAC